CGGACGGGUGAGUAACGCGUGGGUAACCUGCCUCAUACAGGGGGAUAACAGUUAGAAAUGACUGCUAAUACCGCAUAAGACACAGCACCGCAUGGUGCAGGGGUAAAAACUCCGGUGGUAUGAGAUGGACCCGCGUCUGAUUAGGUAGUUGGUGGGGUAACGGCUUACCAAGCCGACGAUCAGUAGCCGACCUGAGAGGGUGACCGGCCACAUUGGGACUGAGACACGGCCCAG
rnacentral:rRNA from 1 species